rnacentral:lncRNA from 1 species
UGCUAAACCUAGCCCAUACUACUUAAAAUGAUAGAGAAAUGAAUCAGUUCCAUUUUUAUUAGUAAUUAUUAGAAGUCAUAAUGAAUGAAUUUAUUUUAAAAAUUAAAAUACAUGAAAAAUAUUAUAAGAAAAAGCGAGCGUCCCAGCAUUAUUGUUUAUGCUAACAAUGCUUUAUAAAGGAAAAUAAGAUAGUCAAGCUUAUCUAUUUAUCUAUUACCUAUAUAUCAUCUAUCCAUCUAUUUAAUCUAUCUUUCAAUAUACAUUUACGUCCAUUUUUAAAAUUCUAGGUCAACUACUGCUUUUGCUUUUUUGUCCACAUCCUCACUAGCAUUUGGCCUUAUUUAUUACUUAAAUAAACUUUGUUCUUUAUGAGCAGUUUUAGGUUUACAGAAAAAUUGAGCAGAGAAUACAGAACACAGACAUUUCUCACAUACCCACUCACUCCUGACAGUAGCACUGUUAGCACCUUGGAUUUACGCCAUUUUACUAUGUUUGUAGUGGUAUCUCAUGUUUGAUGUUGAUUGUCUUUCAUAGGCUUAUUUUCUAUGUGUAUAUCUUCCUUGGUGAGGUGUCUUCUCAAAUCUUUUGCCCAUUUUGUAAUUGGAUUGUGUGUUUUCUCACUGACAACUGUAAUAUAUAGGGCUUUGGUAGUAUGGCCAUACGGUACUGGGGGAGGAGAAGCCUUCUAUACUCCUGUCAUUAGGUCUGUCUUUUAGUCUUUUAGUAUGCCUGUGCCUCCACACUGUAAACUGGAUUGUGAACACACAUACCCUCUCCCUCUCAUUCCCUCACCUCCACCUUAGGUGGGAUAGGUGGAAAGAGAGGGCUGGAGUUGGGUAUUUCUCUUCCCCUUCCGCAAAUCAGUUAGGCUUCAAUAAAACCUCCGUAGAUUAGCUCUGGUAAAGUAGUUUCUCUUAAGGGUAGACCCUGUCAAGAAAAGUAGAAUGCCCUGAUAUAUUUCAAAAUGGCUACUUUUCCCUUUCCCUUACUGGAAGCAGGAGGGGAUUUUUCUCAGAUCUUCACUGUGAGAACCUAAUAGGGUUUCUGGAGGUAAAACUCAUACAAGUGUGUAGCCCCCAGAAGACUGGCCCCUCCUAGAGACUUUAACUCUCAGACUUAUCAACACUGAGCUCCAGCAAUUUGUCAACUAUAGUUUAGGUUUUCCUUCCCCCUAUUGGUUCCCUCAAAGGUUUCUGCUCAGUUAAGUUGUGAUUCUUUGUAUCUGCCUGUCUUUUCAAUUUGGGAGGUACUGGUUUGACCUGUGAACUCAAUUAUCUGGCAGAUGUAAGAAAAGUUGUCUAUUUUCAGUAGGUUCAGUUUUUUCCUUGUUGUGAGGAUUCCAGCGAUGCCUUCUAAGCUUCUUACAUGCUGGACUGGAAACCAGAAGUCACUGAAAUAUUUGUUUUUAAUGCUUAUGAUAGAAAUCCAUCUUGGUCUUCCAUUGGAUUUAUUAAUAGUCUCUCACUCAUAUUUGCUGUUUUCAUUUAUCACAGAGCCUUUAAAUCAUGGUAUUUUCUUGUCAACAAUAAUUAUUUUGUUCUUAAAUUUCAUAAAGUAAAUUCUAUUGAAGUAAAUUUCAUAAAGAAAAUCCUAUUGUCAUCGGCAUGCAUUUUUGUCAAUCAAUAUUGUCAAAAUAUUUUAAUAAUAUUAAGGCCUAACGGUAUCUCAAGAAGAUACAAAUUUUCUCUGAGUAUGUUUUAAUAUUUUCGGAUUUAUGUUAAAUACAUCUGUGCUAUAAAUCUACUUAGGAUUGUAGAAACUCUCAAACCACAAAUAAAACUAAAACAAACUACUAACAAACCUGAACUAGUGAAUUUGUAAGCUUACAGUAAAAUCAUAAUCAUGAUGUAGUGAAAAAUGAGAGUAUAAAAAUAUAUUAAUUUCCUGUUUGGUGUCUUUUUUUUAUUUCUGUAAUUGAUCACUUAGAUUGCUGUAGUUGCUAAUUGAAUUAUAUUUAAAAAUAUAUACACUUUAUUUAGAUCAGUGGAAGCUGUGAGCUAUGUAGAUGAUGACAUUAUCCACCUUGUUUUCUUUUUAUGAAUGAUUUGUAAAUUUCAGCAAUCAUAUUUUUUGUCUAAUUGUAGUCUAUAUAUCACCACUUCCUCUUCAAACAGCAUGUUUCUGUCUGUUGGAAUUUCAUACCUCUACACUUACUUACUCACUUCACCACUGAGGAUAAUAAAUAUGAUGUAGAGCUUAAGGUUAUUUUCCCUCCUGGUUUGCCUUUCCAUUGGUAAUAAAAAAGAAAUAACAGUAACUUUUAAAAAAAAAUUAAAAAUCUACUUGUUCGUUAACUUAAUGAAUGAGAAAAAGAUAGUAAUUCUCUGUUUCUUGCCCCCUACUUUUCUGCAAUUGAUAAUUCACUUUUAAAUAUCUGCUGAUAUAAAAACAACUUUUAUUGAAAUGGCUAACUUACAAAGCAUUUCUUAAAAUGAUUGUGAGAUACUACAUUCAUGUUCAUAUAAAGCAAUCACUUCCAUUUUUAAGUUAUAGGUGUAAGGCUAGAGCCUAAAACAUUACACAGGUACUAUAGAUGGAUUUCUAGGUUGAUACAAAAUAUUUAAAUAUAUAUUUUAAAAGUUGAUGACACUGUCUUCAAACUUCUAAUUUCCAUUAAUUGUCAUGUGGAACAAGUUAACCAAGAGCUGAAUGUAUGGAGCAGCUGAAAUUGUAGAAACAUACAUAUGAUAUGGUAAGAGAAAAGAUCCUGCCUUCCCACACGGAAGUCAUUGAGAAUCAGUGGGAAUAUCCUCAGCUGAAAAAAAAAUCCAUGUCCUAGAAUUAACAAGAGUACACAUGUUUUACAGUUUAAGAAAGAGCAGCUAACACAUCUAUGUAAUUUGAUUACUGGUGAAAUAAAGUCUAUGUGAUUUUAUUAUUGGUGAAAGGCUAUCCCCGUGCGUGUGUAGUAUGUGUGAUGUCAACACCUAUGAGACAGAUAACUAACUGAUAGAGAAACUUAGGGAUGUUGAAGAUUUACAAUUUGUAUCAUAAAGUUUUGCUGUGGAGGGAAGUGAUAUAAAUAAACCCUUGAUUGUGAAAUAUAACUGUAGUGCACAGAUCACUUUGGUUCAUGGGAGUUCAAAGGGUUUACUUCAAAAGAAAACUUUAUUCUUGGUUUGAACAAAUAAGUCUUUAUAUGAAGACACAUUCAACCAAAGGCAUUUGGCACUGCUAACUUUAGGUUAUUUGGUUCCACACUGACUAAAUUGUAAGUCAAAUCUCCCCAGGAGCUAUGCUUUGGACUUUUAGAAAAACAAAAGUAUUCUGUCUACCUUGUUGAUGGCACUUUUUGGGGGCCUGAUCCACACACACACACACACACACACACACCAAGCACUCUACAGUUCAUAAACAUGACUCACGGUUCUCCCUGUUCCUCAGUUACCUUGUCAGUUGCCUGGUUCUCCUUUCUUUGCUAUGCUUAUAUCUGAGCAGCUGCUGUGCCAAUCUCAUUUUUGAUUCUUCGAUGAUAAUAGCAAUAAGAGUAAAUGAUUACUUAAUGCUCACUACAUGCCAGUCUCCUAAGUGCUUAUAUGUAUUAACUCUUCUAAUCCUUAAGACGAAAGAGACAAAUACUAUUAUUGUCACUCUUUUACCAAUGAGUAACCAUCUGAGGCAGGUUCCAUUAUUGCCCCCAUUAUACAGAUGUAGGUACUCUUAGUACCCCCAUUUUACAGAUCAGUACACUAUAGCACAGGCAGGUUAAGUAAGUUUCACAAAAGUUACACAGACUGAUAAGUAACAAAAGUAGGGUUUGAACCCAGGCAUUCUCUGUCCUUAGCUUCUGCUCUAACUUCUACAUGAUGGAACCUCAAUCUUGCUGCUGGCUUUUGAAUGUUGUUGGGCGACAGAGCGAGACUCUGUCUCAAAAAAAAAGAAAAAGAAAGGAAGAAAAGAAAAAUACCAGUUUGCCUUCUCUUCAUUGAUGCAAUCAUCAAUGUGUACAAAUAUGUGUGUGUGUGUGCAUGUGCGUGUGUAUGUACGCACAUGCCUGUACAUGCCUGCAUGUGCGUAAGGGUUAGAGGAGUUAUGGGAGGGGUAUAGGAUUUUGGAAAGCUACCUUUUACAAAUACCAAGAACUCUAAUAAACAGUAGUUUAAGAGUGUCGAAGUAUAUCUGAUUGCUAUGGUUUGAAUAUUUGCCCCCUUUAAGUCAGGUUGAAAUUUAAUACCCAAUGUGGCAGGAUUGAGAAGUGGGGCCUUUAAGGGGUGGUUGUAUCCCGAGGGCUCUGCUAUCAUGAAUGGAUUAACAAAUUAAUGGAUUAAUAGGUUAUCUUGGGAGAGGAACUUGUGGCUUUAUAAGAAGAGUAAGAGAUACCUGAGCUAGCACAUGAGCACGCUCAGCUUUCCCAUCAUGUGCUGCCUUUUACCACCUGGGGACUCUGCAAACAGCCCCCACCUGAAAGAAGACCCUCAUCAGAUGCAGCCCCUAGACCUUGGACUUAGCCACAAUAACCAUAAGAAAUAAAUUCCUUUUCUUUAUCAAUUACCUUGUUUCAGGGAUUCUGUUAUAAGAACAGAAAACGAACUAAGAUGCCACGUCUUUCACAGCCCAGAUUCAAGUACAACAAGAGCUUAAUAUUGUCUUAACGAUGUUUUCAAUGUUUCAGUCAGCAUGAUUAUUGACAUUGUUCUUUUCAUGUGCUUUUAAGAACUAUUUCUGUUUCUCAAAUAGCUCCAAACUUGGGAGCAAAAGAAAGGGUCCUACAACUUAGUGCAGUCUUGCCAUAGUGUUCAUGUUCUUGGUUAUCUUUAUUCUUCUGCACCAGGUAUUCCAGGUGUUACAGAUGAAAGGUCAAAUAUGUGUGGUGGGUUAGAGGAAAUGUGCAAAGAAGCUCAUUUGACGUGUUUUCUCUAGCUCAGGAAGGAGUCCUGAAUGAUUCAGCUUAGCUCAACAGAAAUCUCCACUGGACUAGAACUCAUACCUAAUGGUAGUCAGGGUAGUCAUUUUCCAGGUGAAUUCUGUAAAUGUGAUUUCCUCAGAGACCUCAAGUUUAGGGCAGGAUAGGGAGGGUCCGGUCAGCUCUCUCGUUCUCUGGAGUUAGAGAACAAAGGGAAUAGGUUGAGAGCUUAGUCUUCUGCAGCAGCUCCAUGUUUAAAUCCCGGCUCUGCCACAGUUGAGGUUUAGCUUAUGCAGCUAAACACCCCUGUUUCCUUCAGGGCUCAUAUUUAUAUGUCAUAAACUCCAUGGCAUGAACACAGAGGAAUGAGAAGAUCAGUUUUAUGUAUGGUAAUGGUUUAAUGAAGGACCUAACUGACUUAUGCAUCAAGGAAGAAAUUUGCAAUUAUCCUGCCUUCACCUGAGUUGAAGAUAAACACCUCCUUCUUCUUUUCUUCCCAGUUGAGCCAAAGCAAACUGACAGCAUGACCUGGGGAGGAAGUUAGAGCACAAAGAGGAGACUAAGGAGCUGGGCAGGGUCAGACUGUAUCUGGUGUGCUCAGUAUAGGAAGUCAGAAAGCAACUGGCAAGUGUAACCAGCAUGGGGAACAAGCAAGGUUCCCCGAGGGUAAUUCAGUGCAAGUACAUUGUUGUCUCUCACUGCUCCCUUUAAAUCUCUUCAUUGUAAAGAAGCUCUUCCUCUGCCCCUGAUGGAAAUUCAGGGAUUACAAACUCAGGCAAGUGCAUGCCUCUUACGCUCACUCUUAUCUUAUGUAAUCAAAGAUCCUAUGGCUUCUUUCAGUGGCAAACAGUCUUAAUUUAGUAUUGAGACUGCUAUUAGUUUUAAUGGCAAAAAUGCAAUUAUUUUUGCACCAACCUAAUUGCAAUUGCUCAAUAUAACAUGUUAAUUUAUAAUCCAAUAUUUAUUGAAGGGAAAGAUUUUCACUUCACCUAUCCUGAGCUGGUAGCCUGUAGUCCUGCCUUUUCCAAAAGCUAAGCACCUUCUCUCUUUAUUGCUCACCUCCUCACCACUCCUUGGCUGCUGUUGUGAAUGGCUUCAAGAUUAACAGUGGGGGAGGAGUUAAGGGGAGGGACAAGAGAUAAAGAAGGUUCUUAUGUAACUGAUAAUGAGAACAUGCUUCAUGCUCUGAGGUCUUGGCAGAUUUUUAAAACUGUCUCCACCUAUCAUGGGAGCUUUCCUGAGUUUCUCAGCAUUUCCACUGGAGUAGUCAACUGUGCUUUCUAUGAUACAGGUGUUGCAACUUUAUCUCGUCCUCUGGACUCCCAUUAGCCUCUGGUUUCUGACAGUCCUUUUACAUCAUGUCUCACUGUUGGUCCUAUCAUUCUUUAAGAUGGUCUUUUUAGAGAAUGUCAGGUGUCUCUGUCCUUGCAUGGUCCAUCUGUAGACAAUAAGAAAAACUCCUGAAUUAUUGUAGAAUUGUAGCUAACUCAAACAUAGCUGAGCACUCUUUUUAUGUCCUACAGUUUACAACUAAUAGCUGUAGAUUCUUGCCUUUAGACUCUUUCGGCUUUUGUCAGGCACACGUCCACUAUAUACCACCAAACUCCUGGCUAUAUUGAAGCUUAUGUCUUGUAAUGAGGGGCAAAGAGUUGGGUUGGAAGAUGGACUCACAGCACUCUGCCAAUUACCCAAUAAUUUCUUUGAAAAGGAAAGAUCUGUUCUGAUCAUCAUUGCCUUGAUCAUCUUAUGUAUUUCGUAUAGAAGAUAUACAUUUUAUAUUCUCACUGCUCUCGGUCACCUACUUUGAAUUACUUAUAAGCAUGCCUGCCUUAUCCCUUCUAUUGUUGGCUUGGUUCAAUUUAACAUCCAGUUUCAUGAGCUUGUUCCUUUUGUGAGCAGAAAAAUAAAAAAAGAGAGAGAAGAGAAAGAAGGCAUUGUUUUUCUUUGGAAGCACCCACAGCACUGGGAACAAAUGUGAUUCCCAUCUCCUUUUCCCAAAUGGAAGAGAUGGUAAAGAUUGAAGAAGAAGGAAGCUUCCUUAUCACCACUUCUGGGCUGGGAAUCCUUCCUAGGUAGAAAAAUUCCAAGAGGAAAGGGCAUCAAGCAGUUGCCAGACUGAUGGUUUUCUACCCAGUAGCUACUUUUCUCCUUUCUAAUAAAUUUGAUUUUGAAAGGGGCAGCAAUAAGCCCCAUUUAGAAAAUAAACAAACAUGCAAACAAACAAACUUGCAUUUCUUAGACUUAUUUGCAUAAUGGGUGAAUAAAAUCCACCUUGCACUUGUUGACUUGGAUUUCUGAAAAAACAGUGCUUAAGAGCCUAUUCAGCCAUUGGCACUUCCCUUCUGCCUCCUUCCAGCCUGGACUACUAACUUGCCACUAGGGUUGGAGCAGCCAUCUUGAAACAAUAAUUUAACAACCAAAAGAAUCAUAGGGCUUUCCAGUUGAUGUUCCCAAGUCUUAAAUACCUGUUUCCAGACUUCUUGUUACAAAAGAAAAAUGUCAACCCUCAUUUGUUUAAGUAUUUUUUGGUCUCUUUUACAGCCAAAUAUUUUUCUUAAAUUAUGUAGUAGCUGUGAGACUUUGGGCAGGUUUUAUAAUAUCUGUGGACCUCUGUUUCCUUAUUUGUAAAACGGAAAUUUUACCCAUCUCAGAAAUAUUUUGAAGAUUAAAAAAAUACCAUGGAUGGAGAGUGUUAAGCAUAGUUCCUGGUGUACUAUAGUGAAUAAAUAUAAAAUUACUACUUCUCUCCAUAUAAGUAUGACUAUUUCUCAAAUCCAAUUUAGAUUCUAAAUCAGGAAAAUAUAGGCUGUGGAUGAGAAGAGUGGAGUACAUUUUUAAAAAUCACUGUAAGUACAUUAGAGUUUUUUUCUUAUUAACUCUUAUUUGUAAACUUUGGGGAAAAAAAUGAAGAUGUACCCAAGUAAGUCAGCCAAAUCCAUUCCACAUAAUUCUGUAUAACAAAAGCAGAUUAUUUGGAUGAAAGAAGCUUAUAUCUUAAAUUUUAGAAAUUAUGGGGGUUAUUUGAAUCCAUUCUAAUUCAAGAAGAUUUUUUCAUUAUCAUAUUUACUUUUGUAAAUGUAGAUGUGAUGUGAUAAAAUUAUAAUAUUUCUAACUGAAAAUCUCAUCUUCCAACAAAUGUACACUGCCACAGAUGGUAACUGCCUUGGCUGUGGCCACAUAGGUUAACAUAUAUGCAUGUGGAUGUGUGUAUAUCCAUGAAUAUAUGCCUAUAAAAUUUUGGGUUGAAAUGAGAUCCCUUGUCUAUUAAUACUUAACACACGGUACUUCUGAAACAAGGCCCUAAAAUCAAGGGAAGACGAUGACUUGUUAUUAACUCUCAUGCUUACCAAUUAACAACUCAAGCAAAUGCUAGCUUUCUCCCCAGAUUUAAUCAUUCCUUUCUUUCUUUUUUUUUUUUUUUUUAACUUUGCUUGGUUUCAGAAUCCUCUAGGAGUCCUACCAUGAAACCUUCAUGUCCACGGCUUAAUAUUUUAUACCAUCUUGUUGUCAAACACUUUUUAAGGCUUACUUCUACAGAGUACCCUCUUCCUAACUACUGACUUUAGCAUUGACCUGCAUCUUGCUAGGCAAUUGCUGUCCAUAGUUGGAAAAGGUCGUAGUGAAAAAGAUUAUGUGCCAUGGUCAAGAACUUGUAAAAAUUUCCUUAAUGCCUUCUUUUUCAUCUUUAGGCCUACCAAGGAUGUAGAUACUUGAUUCUUCCAUAACAUACACAAACAAAUGGUUAUAAGUCAGCUAUUAAAUCUUUUCAUCAAUAUCAUUCUUAAGGUCUUUAUAAUGGAAACUUAAAUUUUCCAUUGGCACCUAAGGUAUCAAAUAAAUCAUGAUAUCUGAUUCUAGAGAGCUCUGGGCUUGAAAGGCCUUGGCAGGACUCAUGUCACGGAUGUGUAGUCUCACGCAGGGCCCUGCACUGGGCUUUAGUUUAAUGCUCUGCUGUCAUCAUCUUGAAAUUUUUAAUUUGUGAACAAGGGCUCAGCAUUUUCGUCUUGCACUGGGCCUUGCAAAUUAUGUAGCUGGUCCUGGGCUCAGUUUUUGACUACUUCUAUUCAGUUGGAACCAUAAGUUCUCUUACAAUCAGUUGAUUUUCAGAGGCUAAGUCUCUGGCAGUAAAGUUUCCCAAUGGACUUUCUUUCUAUUUUAGGAUUCCAAUAUUACAUUAGCAAACAAGUCCUUAGGGCUUUGGAUUUAUACCAGCGUUUUAUAAUUGACUUUGUCUUUUACAGUAAAAAUAAAGUUUGUGCAUCUGCCUAUUAUUUAAAACCACCUUCUGCAUGGUAACAAUUACUUUAUUUUAAACAGAUUCUCUUAAUUUAUAUAAAGCAUUUUUUCUCUUCUUUCC